GAAACCAUGAGAAACUAAGAGAAUGAAAUAGCUUAAUGAAGGCUUCAACAAAUAUAGACAGAUCGUGAAUGAUAAUUUAGAAAAUCCUUUACAAUCAGGAUAUAAUUUUUGACUGCCUCAUCAACUAAGUUAUAGAAUUUUUUGGCAUCUUCAUUUUGGCAUUCAUCAACUCCUUGUGCAACAUGUCUAAAUUGAUCAUUCACCAGCCCAUCAAUUUCAUCAUAUGAAUUAUCUUCAUCCAUAUCAUCUUCAACAUCCAUUGGAAUUUCUCAUUCUCCAUGAUUAAUCCAUCUUGUAUAACCUUUAACAAAACUGUAGCAUAUUAAAUGAUCAUAAACUACAUUCCUUUGGUACCAAGAGAUGUUACAACACUUUGUACUUGGGCAUUGAAUUUCUUCGCCCUAAGGAUCUCCAUCAGAAUAAGCAAAGUCAAAAAAAUAUUGAACACCAUCAAUAUACUCUUUGCUAUACCUUGAUAAAUCCAUCCAAGCCUUGGAAGGAUUAUUUGAAAACCUAAAAUCAAU
rnacentral:lncRNA from 1 species